rnacentral:lncRNA from 1 species
AGGAAGAUGGGAUAUUCAUCAGUAUUAGCAAGAAGUCUAUUAGCUUUUCAGCAAAUUUGGUUCUUAAACAAUUUGGAUACAGAAUUAAACUUCUCCAGACGUUGGCCGAGAUCAAGAAUUAGUCUUGGUUUCCUUAACGUAGGAAAUACGUGCAUACAAAGUGCCUCUUAGUCUCCUGUAAUUCUGAUCUCUAUAGACCUGGGAAUGCUCUGUCUUUAUGUUAUAACACUGUUUCUGCGCCAUCUGUUGACGUAGCCAACGUUCAUAUAUGUAUGCAAAAUAAUAGUCACCGAGCAAAUUUCCAAGUAAACUAUCAAUCAAAUUUCAGUUCAUCGGUGAAUCCCACUGUAGUUGAUAUUGUCCUGAAAUUGAUUGAAUUGACUUGGUGAGUCGUUUUAGUCUACAAUGAGAUGAGGAAGAACAAUUAAAUUUCGAUAUAUAUAAUCUUAAUACAGGAAAGGAUACUUUUUGCACAUCAUGUAGAAUGAAACAGUGUACAGUCAAGGUUGCAGUACUACUGUCCUAACAAUUGUAAAGACUAGUAAGUAGCUGUAGACUAAAACACAUAUCAGUUGUGAUUUGUCUGCUGAUGGUGCAAUUUUUAUGUGUACGCCUUGAGUUUUGUAUGCCCAUGUAUGCGUAUCAGGUGGUUACUUAAUGCUCUGGUUGUGGAAAUUGGAAAGGGAAUCUGGUUACUGUUGUGAUGAUUGAUUAAAAUUUCGUUUGCUCUGAUACUUUGUGCUGGAUUUGCAGCUCCCGUUGAUGUUUCGGUGUGCAUCACAAGCCCUCAAACUAGAUUUGACUGAUUGAACUCAGACUGCAAAACGUUAGAACUCUCAGAUAAUGCUAUUAUCUGAAGCUUCCCGAUUUUUCGGAUAAGCAUUGAAAGUUUGGAUUAGCACGGACACCUCUCAACUGUAGUAGCAUUAUUCAGCAAGAGCCAAGUGAUAGGAACUGGACAAAACCUAAUUGACCUGUUCUUUCUGAACUUUUAUAGAGGCAUUGGCUAUGGAAUCCCUAUUGCUAUCUGGAAAUUAAUUGUUGUGCAUGAUAAGAUUCCCAGUCACCAUUGCUGGGACCACAUCUUGUUGCUGUAUUUGAA